GACGAACGCUGGCGGCGUGCUUAACACAUGCAAGUCGAACGGAAAGGCCCUGCUUUUGUGGGGUGCUCGAGUGGCGAACGGGUGAGUAACACGUGAGUAACCUGCCCUUGACUUUGGGAUAACUUCAGGAAACUGGGGCUAAUACCGGAUAGGAGCUCCUGCUGCAUGGUGGGGGUUGGAAAGUUUCGGCGGUUGGGGAUGGACUCGCGGCUUAUCAGCUUGUUGGUGGGGUAGUGGCUUACCAAGGCUUUGACGGGUAGCCGGCCUGAGAGGGUGACCGGCCACAUCGGGACUGAGAUACGGCCCAGACUCCUACGGGAGGCAGCAGUGGGGAAUAUUGCACGAUGGGCGGAAGCCUGAUGCAGCAACGCCGCGUGCGGGAUGACGGCCUUCGGGUUGUAAACCGCUUUCGCCUGUGACGAAGCGUGAGUGACGGUAAUGGGUAAAGAAGCACCGGCUAACUACGUG
rnacentral:rRNA from 1 species